CCGAUUGCGAAGGCAGCACACUAAGUCAUUAUUGACGCUGAGGCACGAAAGUGUGGGGAUCGAACAGGAUUAGAUACCCUGGUAGUCCACACUGUAAACGAUGAUAACUCGCUGUCGGCGAUACACAGUCGGUGGCCAAGCGAAAGCAUUAAGUUAUCCACCUGGGGAGUACGACCGCAAGGUUGAAACUCAAAGGAAUUGACGGGGGCCCGCACAAGCGGAGGAACAUGUGGUUUAAUUCGAUGAUACGCGAGGAACCUUACCCGGGCUCGAACGGUGCAUGAAUAUACGAGAGAUUGUAUAGUCCUUCGGGACAUGUAUCGAGGUGCUGCAUGGUUGUCGUCAGCUCGUGCCGUGAGGUGUCGGCUUAAGUGCCAUAACGAGCGCAACCCUUGUCAUUAGUUGCCAUCAGGUCAAGCUGGGGACUUUAAUGAGACUGCCACCGUAAGGUGUGAGGAAGGGGGGGAUGACGUCAAAUCAGCACGGCCCUUAUGUCCGGGGCGACACACGUGUUACAAUGGGAGGUACAGAGGGCAGCUAUCCGGUGACGGAAUGCUAAUCUCCAAAACCUUUCUCAGUUCGGAUUGGAGUCUGCAACUCGACUCCAUGAAGGUGGAUUCGCUAGUAAUCGCGCAUCAGCCAUGGCGCGGUGAAUACGUUCCCGGGCCUUGUACACACCGCCCGUCAAGCCAUGGAAGCUUGGGGUGCCUGAAGUUCGUGACCGCAAGGAGCGACCUAAGGCAAAACAGGUAACUGGGGCUAAGUCGUAACAAGGUAACC
rnacentral:rRNA from 1 species